rnacentral:rRNA from 1 species
GCAUAACGCGAAGAACCUUACCAGGUCUUGACAUCCCCCUGACCGGUACAGAGAUGUACCUUUCCUUCGGGACAGGGGAGACAGGUGGUGCAUGGUUGUCGUCAGCUCGUGUCGUGAGAUGUUGGGUUAAGUCCCGCGACGAGCGCAACCCUUGACUUUAGUUGCCAGCAAGUAAGGUUGGGCACUCUAGAGUGACUGCCGGUGACAAACCGGAGGAAGGUGGGGAUGACGUCAAAUCAUCAUGCCCCUUAUGACCUGGGCUACACACGUACUACAAUGGCCGGUACAACGGGAAGCGAAGGAGCGAUCUGGAGCGAAUCCUAUAAAGCCGGUCUCAGUUCGGAUUGCAGGCUGCAACUCGCCUGCAUGAAGUCGGAAUUGCUAGUAAUCGCGGAUCAGCAUGCCGCGGUGAAUACGUUCCCGGGUCUUGUACACACCG